UUACCUGCCGCGCUCUCCCAACACACGUCUGGAACAGUCUGCUCUGAUCGAGGUAUGGCCUCUCGAAUCUGCAUUCGAUUUGUCCCCUGACUCUUCAAGCGAAGCCGCGUGCUAAUUUUUUCGUUUCUACCAGGUAAAUUGGGGGUGGUUGGUUAGGUCAUUUUGCAUAAGAAGUGAUUGAUCUAGACUCUGUGCCUGCCUGUGAGGGUGAGGAGGACAUGAACGAAUUCGAGCUAGAGGAUAACUUUGAGUUCAUUAUCUAGAGCAUCCAGGACCUCAUGGAGGACCCAGGGAACAAC
rnacentral:lncRNA from 1 species